rnacentral:tRNA from 1 species
GGUUGUGGCUCAGUGGUAGAGUGCUUGCCUAGCAUGUGUGAGGCACUGGGUUCAAUCCCUGGCACCA